GAGCGCAUCCUUCGGGGUGAGCGGCAGACGGGUGAGUAACGCGUGGGGAUGUGCCUUGAGGUGGGGAAUAACUGUGGGAAACUACAGCUAAUACCGCAUAAGCCCUUCGGGGGAAAGAUUUAUCGCCUUUAGAGCAACCCGCGUCAGAUUAGCUAGUUGGUGAGGUAAUGGCUCACCAAGGCGACGAUCCAUAGCUGGUCUGAGAGGAUGAUCAGCCACAUUGGGACUGAGACACGGCCCAA
rnacentral:rRNA from 1 species